AUGAUCUUGCACAGGAAUCUUGUUAAAAUACAGAUUCAGCAAAUCUGCUCAGGGGCCUGAGAUUCUGCAUUUUUAAAAAGUUCUCAGGGAAUGCUGAU
rnacentral:miRNA from 1 species